rnacentral:tRNA from 1 species
GGCCUGUUAGCUCAGCUGAUUAGAGCGUGGUGCUAAUAACGCCAAGGUCGUGGGUUCGAUCCCCACAUGGGCCA